GAUGAACGCUGGCGGCGUGCCUAACACAUGCAAGUCGAACGAGGCAAAUGAGAUGAAGUUUUCGGAUGGAUUCUUAUUUACCGAGUGGCGGACGGGUGAGUAACGCGUGGGUAACCUGCCUCACACAGGGGGAUAACAGUUGGAAACGACUGCUAAUACCGCAUAAGCGCACAGGACCGCAUGGUCUGGUGUGAAAAACUCCGGUGGUAUGAGAUGGAUCCGCGUCUGAUUAGCCAGUUGGCGGGUAACGGCCCGACCAAAGCGACGAUCAGUAGCCGGCCUGAGAGGGUGAACGGCCACAUUGGGACUGAGACACGGCCCAAACUCCUACGGGAGCAGCAGUGGGGAAUAUUGCACAAUGGGGGAAACCCUGAUGCAGCGACGCCGCGUGAGUGAAGAAGUAUUCGGAUGUAAAGCUCUAUCAGCAGGGAGAAAGUGACGGUACCUGAAUAAGAAGCCCCGGCUAAC
rnacentral:rRNA from 1 species